rnacentral:rRNA from 1 species
UUGAACGCUGGCGGCAGGCCUAACACAUGCAAGUCGAGCGGAUGAAGGGAGCUUGCUCCUGGAUUCAGCGGCGGACGGGUGAGUAAUGCCUAGGAAUCUGCCUGGUAGUGGGGGAUAACGUCCGGAAACGGGCGCUAAUACCGCAUACGUCCUGAGGGAGAAAGUGGGGGAUCUUCGGACCUCACGCUAUCAGAUGAGCCUAGGUCGGAUUAGCUAGUUGGUGGGGUAAAGGCCUACCAAGGCGACGAUCCGUAACUGGUCUGAGAGGAUGGUCAGUCACACUGGAACUGAGACACGGUCCAGACUCCUACGGGAGGCAGCAGUGGGGAAUAUUGGACAAUGGGCGAAAGCCUGAUCCAGCCAUGCCGCGUGUGUGAAGAAGGUCUUCGGAUUGUAAAGCACUUUAAGUUGGGAGGAAGGGCAGUAAGUUAAUACCUUGCUGUUUUGACGUUACCAACAGAAUAAGCACCGGCUAACUUCGUG